rnacentral:rRNA from 1 species
UACGAAGGGGGCUAGCGUUGCUCGGAAUUACUGGGCGUAAAGCGCGCGUAGGCGGGCCGUUAAGUCGGGGGUGAAAGCCUGGGGCUCAACCUCAGAAUUGCCUUCGAUACUGGCGGCCUGGAGCAUGAUAGAGGCGAGUGGAAUUCCCAGUGUAGAGGUGAAAUUCGUAGAUAUUCGGAGGAACACCAGUGGCGAAGGCGACUCGCUGGAUCAUUGCUGACGCUGAGGCGCGAAAGCGUGGGUAGCAAACAGG